rnacentral:lncRNA from 1 species
CUGACCAGGAGAAAAACCAACCAAUAGAAACAGGCCCAGACACUGACCAGGAGAAAAACCAACCAAUAGAAACAGGCCCAGACACUGACCAGGAGAAAAACCAACCAAUAGAAACAGGCCCACACACUGACCAGGAGAAAAACCAACCAAUAGAAACACGCCCAGACACUGACCAGGAGAAAAACCAACCAAUAGAAACACGCCCAGACACUGACCAGGAGAAAAACCAACCAAUAGAAACACGCCCAGACACUGACCAGGAGAAAAACCAACCAAUAGAAACAGGCCCAGACACUGACCAGGAGAAAAACCAACCAAUAGAAACAGGCCCAGACACUAACCAGGAGAAAAACCAACCAAUAGAAACACGCCCAGACAGUG